rnacentral:rRNA from 1 species
UAGGGAAUCUUCGGCAAUGGACGAAAGUCUGACCGAGCAACGCCGCGUGAGUGAAGAAGGUUUUCGGAUCGUAAAACUCCGUUGUUAGAGAAGAACAAGGGUGAGAGUAACUGUUCACCCCUUGACGGUAUCUAACCAGAAAGCCACGGCUAACUACGUGCCAG